rnacentral:rRNA from 1 species
UACGGAGGGUGCGAGCGUUAAUCGGAAUAACUGGGCGUAAAGGGCACGCAGGCGGACUUUUAAGUGAGGUGUGAAAUCCCCGGGCUUAACCUGGGAAUUGCAUUUCAGACUGGGGGUCUAGAGUACUUUAGGGAGGGGUAGAAUUCCACGUGUAGCGGUGAAAUGCGUAGAGAUGUGGAGGAAUACCGAAGGCGAAGGCAGCCCCUUGGGAAUGUACUGACGCUCAUGUGCGAAAGCGUGGGGAGCAAACAGG